AGAAGAAAACAUAUACUUUGAAAACACACUUUUAUUGCAACACCGAGCAAGAAAUUUCAAGUUUCACCCUGUGUAUGUCUGUGUCCUUGGGUCUGUCAAGUUGAAGGUCACUCACUAACACUUUGGAAGGAAAGAUUUCUGCCAAGAGGGAGGUUUGAUGAAGAGAAACAUCUCUGAGAGUAUACAGAGCCCCUGGCUGCUGAAUUCCCAGUGGAGAUUUCACAUCUGCUUGUCAUAUAAACUUCAGCUCUGGUCUAGUGAGGAUUAAAGUCUCCCUGAGAUCCUGACUGAGCAGCCUUUCUCCCACUUUAUUUGACACCGCACUAUAUCACGGCAGUGCUGGCUCCUUCCCCACGCACCGUGUGUAGUAAAUCCUCUGCACGCCACAAGGUCAGCCGAGUAUUAGAUGCAGAGUCCUGUCAGAGGUGCUGACAGCUCCAUCUUUCUGAGGACAUGCAUCUUGUGUUGUCACUUCUUCAAGUUUUUGGAAGUGCUGGGAAGGAGAAGAAGCCGUAAUUGAAAUGGGCAGGCGUGGCAGGAGAAAAGAAGAGGCAAAAUAAAUAUGGGGAAUGAUAACAGAAACAUGAAUCAAGCACUAUUGCAGCUCAGGGGACACUGGGUAGGAGAGAAAGCAGUGUCCACUUGAGAGGCUGUGGAAGAAGCAAUGUCAUCAAGAAACAUCUGAAAUGAAGUCGAGAAUACCAAGAGGCCAUAAAACGGAGCCAGAAGACCCCUGGGAAGGAUUCAAUGACUUUUGUAAAGAAUGAAAAGGAUGCUAAGAAGCUGCUGUUAGAACUUUAAAAGAUGCAAUGCAAAAUGUUACUGAAGUCAUUCAAGAAUACUUCAGAAGAAAAUUAUUCCAAGGCCAAGCAAAUUAUUAUGAUUAUAAUGCAAGUAAAGGAUGGUGUGAAGUAAUUAUUAUCAAUGACAAAAAAUGAAAAGAAACCAGACUUUUGACAAAGAAACCAGUAAAUUAUUUAUUUAUUUAUUUAUUUAUUUAUUAAUUAUGAAAUUUAUUGCCAAAUUGGUUUCCAUACAACACGAAGUGCUCAUCCCAACGGGUGCCCUCCUUAAUGCCCAUCACCCACCCUCCCCUCCCUCUUACCCCCCAUCAACCCUCAGUUUAUUCUCAGUUUUUAAGAGUCUCUUAUGGUUUGGCUCCCUCCCUUUUUUUUCCCUUCCCCUCCCCCAUGAUCUUCUGUUAAAUUUCUCAGGAUCCACAUAAGAGUGAAACCAGAUGGAACUGGAAAGUGUUAUGCUAAGUGAAAUAAAUCAUACAGAGAAACCAGUAAAUAAUUUAAAAGAAAAAAAAAUAGCCAAGACGGAACUUGAGCCCAAAUCAGUGCACAUUCCAAAUUCUCCAUAAAGCCUUCUGAAAAAGAUAGUGUAGUUCCUCCUGAACUCCAGGAUAUACCUGCUGACCUCAAAAUGAAAACAUUAAGUGAAAUUAAAAAAAAAAAAACAGCCUCAUAGCCCUCAUGGUAGUAGGGAAUGAUGCGGAGUAAUUAUAUGAAGAAGAAAAGUUUUACAGUCCUCCAUGUCUGAGGAUGGUGAUAUGUUAGUAGUAAUGGCUUCUUCAUUGGGAAAGUCAUUUUUCAUUAUAAAAGAAGAGAGUGGUUACCCUUCUUCAAUUAAGGAGCAAAAAGGCCCCAAGAAGUGUUACCUGAAAAAGAUACCCUUGAAACCUAUUGGGUUAUAAGAAAUGGCAACAACUCUUCAUGUCAGGACGUUUGAAUCCAUGCUUUCCCAUUCUUUCUCUGGAUCCAGAAGCUCUAGGAAAAAUGACAGUGAACAACUGUUUCUGAAAAGCAAACUGCACUUUUUCCUCAAAAUGAACCUUAGAUCAAGAAUCUGUUUCUUUAAGAUCAUAAAGCAGUUAUAGCUCCCCCUUCCUUGUUUAUGGGAAGCAAGCAAGAGGUGGAAGGAAUAGCCAUUCAACAUUGUUGUGUUAGGGGAAGAAUGUGCAUGUGAUGAUUGAUUAGUGAACUCUUUGUGAACAUUUCUGUCUAAAAUUACUUUUCUUUCUCUUUUUUUUUUUUUUUUCACUAGUCUGUUAUUUAAAUGUAUAUUUGACUGUCUUUGGGCUGGUUAUAAAAAUGUUUGUUUUAGUCUCUGUUUUUCCUUUUAAAGUGUAUUCAGGUUAUGUUUACAUAAGGCUUUCACAAACCAAGUAUAUAUUUAAAUUCAUUUGUAAUAUGCUGCAGAAUAUUUCCUCUAUGAAAUAAUUUGGAGUUUAUAAUUAUCUUAUGUUUCUCAUCUGUGCUUACCAUGAAAUGCAUUUCACUGGAUCAGCUCUGUUUUUGCUUGGAAAUAAAUGUCAAGAUAUAUUUAAAAUGAUAAUAGAAUAUUAUGAGGAAAUUGUAGCAAUUAAAAAUAGAUCACCUUUAUUAAAAGUUGUUAUUGUUAGCAAAACCUGGCUACACUUCUAUUAUGGAUGUACAGAUAAUAAAUUGUACAAACUAAAGUACUUUUUAAUCAUAGUUUAAAAAAUAAAUAAAAUAGAUCCCCCAAGAAAUCUCAAAUGCUGGCAUUAGGCAGUUAGCCCUUAUGCCUCUGUUAAAAGAUUUAUGUUUGCAAACCAUCUGUUGGUUAGUAACUACUUUCUCCUGGGGUGAUUCAGUUAGUUUAUUAAAAACUUGUAGAACCUUACUUUUUCCUGUUAUGCAAACUCCCAUAAAGGAACUUAACUACAGGUAAUUUGACAAAAUGCAAUGUUAAAUAUCCUUUUAUCACCAUAGGAAGAAAUGUUUUUAUCACCACAGGUAGUAAAAGACAGCCAUUGCCAGACAACGUAUAACUUUUUGCAUCUAAUCUGUCAGAGCACCCAUUUUAAAGUGCAUUUAAAUGAUAAUGGAAACAUAUUCAUCAAAGCACAAUGCCAAUUUUCAAGAGAAUUUUAGAAAAGCAGUACUUUCAUCAGAUUGUCAAAAGCAAAUGAGAAUUGCCAUUUUGGACUAAUAAAGGAGAACAGAGAGGGGAAAUUGACUUAAAUGACUAGCAUCAUUAAAAUUAAGUAGGAUGUGAAAAUAUUUAAACAGAAUAAGUGCUGAAAGUAAAUUAGCUAUUUCAAAUGUCUUCAGUUUGCAUUUGCCCAAUUUUCAGUGCUAAACCUGACAUUUUGACUUAGAUUUGUAAUUCUGUAUACCCAUCUUAUAUGAAAACACUCAGCAUACAGUCAACUCUUGACACAUAUUUAUUGAGUGUUAGCAAUCAUCCAAGAAGUAUAUUAAAAUUUUUAUCACUGGGGUGCCUGGGUGGUUCAGUCGGUUGAGCGCCCCCCAACUCUUGAUUUUGGUCAUGAUCUCAGUGUUUGUGAGUUCAAGCCCCACAGUGGGCUCUAUGCUGACAGCCUGCUUGGAAUUCUGUUUCCCUCUCUCUCUGCCCCUUCUCUGCUUGCUGUCUGUCUCUCUCUCAAAAUAAAUAUAACCUUAAAAAAAAGACUUUGAUCACUUAAUCUUCAUAUCAAUAAGAUUGGCACCAUAUUUUCUUAAUUUUUUUUCAAUGUUGAUUUAUUUUUGAGAGACAGCAUGAGCAGAGAAGGGGCAGAGAGAGAGAGAGGGAGACACAGAAUUCAAAGCAGGCUCCAGGCUCUGAGCUGUCAGCACAGAGCCCGACGCAGGGCUUGAACUUAUGCUCUUAAACUGCUCUGCCUUACAGUCAUAAGUCUGACUCAAGCGAGGUCGUUACAGGAAUUAACCUCACUCAUCCCAUUUCCUUCAAGCUACACAUUCACUAUGGCGUAAUGGCAGAACUGAAAAGAGAAAAUUGGAGGCAGGGUAGGGAUAUCAGCCCUCUCUCACAUUCAUCUUGCUUACUCUAUCCUCUGAUGUUCGUUCCACCUUGCACCAGUUGUCAGAGGCAAAGGCGUUCAAAUAGAUAAAAAUUGAAGAGGCUAACUCACAUCCUUCUUUUCGCUUUCUCUUUUUCUUCCUUGUACUUACCCUCACACUUCUUUUUGGAUAGCUUUGCAUCGGUAGGAAGACUUGUUAACAGUAGGGUGUGACAUUUAUUAUUUAAGCUUCCUCUUGAGAGCUGGUGUGAAGCAAGUGCUCUUCUAGUCAGUGUCUUUGACCUCUACGAAAAUCUGCUUUUUGGGCGUGUUAAAAAGAUAAACAUUGUUAAAACUCCUGUGGCUGGUUCAUUAAGUCACAAUUUCCACUGAUAUAUUAACCUGCUAAGUAAUGGCUGUAGUAAGCUUACAGUGUAUUAAGAGCAGCAUUCAAAACAAAAUACAGCCUCUCCUAGUUUAAGGAAAAACUAAUUUCAUUUCAUGUUAAUUUAGCAGAAAGACUUUUUCCAUACUCACAAAGUUCUAUGACCAAGCAGAUUGCUUAACUGUCUGAAGCAUUCUUAACCUUUCUCUUUAUAUAUUAUGAGUCCGAUCCAUUCUUUUGUGAGAAGAGAUUAUGGAUGUAAAUGAGUUUUAAAGUUAAAAUAUUCUCUGUUGGAAAAGAUACGUUUUAUUAGAAGAAACAUUGUUUUGCCAGCUAAUUUAAGUCAGGUAAUUAAAGCCAGAGAAAACCGCAAUGCACUUCUGAUUAUCUGAAUUUAUUCAUUAUUAUUCACUUAUAGAUUUAUUAUUUUUUUGCAAUAAAUCUAAAAGGUCUAACUGUUCCUGAUAUUAGCGUUAGAGCAGUUAAGAAGGUAGGUCACAGGGGCGCCUGGGUGGCUUAGUGACUUCGGCUCAGGUCGUGAUCUCACAGCUUGUGAGUUUGAGCCCCAUGUCAGGCUCUGUGCUGACAGCUCAGAGCCUGGAGACUGCUUCAGAUUCUGUGUCUCCCUCUCUGGCCCUCUUCUGCUGGCGCUCUGUCUCUGUUUCUCAAAAAUAAAUAAAUGUUUAAAAAAAUAAUAAAAAAGAAAAGCUAGAUCAUAGUUCCAGCUCUUAUAGGGUUUACAUUUUGCUGGAUAAUUUCUUGAGGAUAUAUUUUCCCAUUAAAAGUUCAGUAGGAGUUAAUUUAGCCUUGACUCAUCCAACUCUGUAUAAUUCUGGCUGUCCAUUUAAAAGAAUUUGUGCCAUGGCCUGAAUUACUAUUAAAUGUUACAGGGCCUAUGUAAACAAACAAACAAACAAACAAACAAACAUUGUUGACCUGUGAGACUGUCUUCAGGACAGGUACAUCAUGGGGUUGCCAGUUACAUAAUUUUAUGCAUUUCACUCUCACUGGAUCAUGUACCAGAUUAAGUAGAUUAACAAUGUUACUGAAUGUGUUUGCUGUUCCUUUGUUGAUUAUUUUUUGUUGAAAUCUUCCAUAAUUGUUAUCCAUUAUCACACAAAUUCUGUCUUGUAUUUAUAAGAGCACAGUCACAUAAAAGUGUUUUUUAGGAGUAUUAUAUUCCUUUAAAACUUGGAAACUUUGAGUGAUAUUGUUAUUAAGCAAAAGUACUUUGAAAAGAGGAAGUACUCAGAGAAAGGAAUGCUAAAGGAAUUAUCCAGUUUGCAAACUUUUUUUCCCCAGAUUUACAUUUUCUUUAACUUUUAGGGUGAGCUUAGUAUAAGCAAUAUAUAUUAAAAUGGGACCUCAGAAGUUCUUAAAAAUUAUGUUUUAAAAUUAUUCAAAAUUACUCAAAUGUAACCAUUUUCCACAUUUGUUGGAUAUCAAACUAGUUGAAUACCCUCAUUUAUACCUGUAUACAAGUAGAUCAGUAGAUGGAUGGAUACAUAAAUGAAUGGAUGGAUGGAUGGAAAGAGGAACAGAAGUUAUUUUGCAGAAAACGAAUUGUACUAUAGUUAUUAAAAUAUUAAAUUAGGUAUACCUGAACUUAUCAAAAAUGAAAUAUGCAUGAAGCUAACAAUGUUGAUCUGUAAAUGUUUCAUAAACACAAAUGUAGUAAUAUUUAAAAUACCCCUAUGACCAAGAAUAAAGACUUUAAAAAUGUUGAGAUAGGUAUGAAUUUAAGUUUCACUCUUAGGUAGUAUCCAUUUAAUCCUGCCAUUAAAGAUAAAAGUAGCCCAUUUGUACUCCCCUUUCUCUCUCUGUUUUUUAGAUUUUGUUGCUAUUUCUGUUCUGCAUUCUCUUCUGUAACUGUAAUCUUUGCGCUUGCUUUAUUUUAUUUUUAUACUUCAAUGGAUUCAUUGCUCUUCCCCAAACAAUUAUACCAUAUCCAUUGUAUUUGGGGGACUUUUAAAAUGUCAUUUCUGGGUUGGCUGGAUUUCAUCAUCAUAUUAAUUUUUUUUGUAUGCCUUUUCAAUUAAGGCUCAUGGAUGAUAUAUUUUUGAGAAUUCUAUUGGCUCUUAAAAUGUUAUAAUUACGUGUGGCUUUUUUUUUUUUUUUUUUUACUUGCAAGAAGACAGUGAACACUCACUACCAUGUGAGAGAUGUACACACAGAAAUUCCUCAAUUGGGAGACUUAAAGUUGACCAAGCAACCAUAUACUGUACUAACUACAGUAACAGUGAAGACCCAGAUGUUGUAUGAGUUUUCAAGAGUGAGAAGAGUUUGGGCACAAGCACAGAGAUCAGACACAAUCGUGCAGAGGUACCAUCGAAAUUUGGCCAGUCUGGGAGCACAUGGUAAGACACCACCGGGUGACAGGAAGUCAGAGGCAGGCUCUUGACAGCCCUGAAACCCAAACUUUAUUCAGAAGGAAUAGUAUAGUAAAACUAUUAUUUUCAUAUAGUUCUCACCACACUCCUGUCCCCACCCUCAGUUGUUUACUGUCAAAAUUCUCCUGUCUUUUGGCAUGGAGUAUUCCAUUUGUCCUUUUCUCACGGCAUUGGAGUUGGCUCUAUCACAGAGCUGACUUUUCCAGGCAUGGCUCUUAACAGCACACAUCUUUCUGAAAAAAAAAAAAUUGAUACACUUUUGACCAUGUCUGCCAGUUGCUCUUGCACUUCAAAACAACUUAGCUACAAAUGCUAUCACAGUUUCGCACCUUCUUUCUUUCAGUAUCUGGGGAUACUCUUCUAUUUUCAAGCACUAGGUGUCGCUCUAUGGAAUGGGGAAGCCAGCUUCCUGUUUACCCCUCUCAAGUGACUUGCUCCUUCUCUUAGAAUA